rnacentral:rRNA from 1 species
AACGAACGCUGGCGGCAGGCCUAACACAUGCAAGUCGAACGCCCUAGCAAUAGGGAGUGGCAGACGGGUGAGUAACACGUGGGAACCUUCCCUAUAGUACGGAAUAUACCAGGGAAACUUGGAGCAAUACCGUAUACGCCCGAGAGGGAAGAUUUAUCGCUAUAGGAUGGGCCCGCGUAGGAUUAGCUAGUUGGUGAGGUAAUGGCUCACCAAGGCGACGAUCCUUAGCUGGUUUGAGAGAACGACCAGCCACACUGGGACUGAGAUACGGCCCAGACUCCUACGGGAGGCAGCAGUGGGGAAUAUUGGACAAUGGGCGCAAGCCUGAUCCAGCCAUGCCGCGUGAGUGAUGAAGGCCUUAGGGUUGUAAAGCUCUUUUGCCGGGGACGAUAAUGACGGUACCCGGAGAAUAAGUCCCGGCUAACUUCGUGCCAGCCGCCGCCGUAAU